UGAUACCAGGGCCCCAAGGUCAUGUGCUUCAUGCCUGCAUGAAAACACAUGACUUUAGGACCCGCAAAACAUUCGAAAGCAGCCCGAACAUGGUUGCUUUCGAAUGUUUUUAGGAUUGUGGGAGCACAAAGUGCGGAACAAUCCGUAGGUAUCA
rnacentral:sRNA from 1 species